CUCCCAAGGCUGCAGUGAAACCCAACCCUCUCAUCCGCCUGCCCCUCACUUCACCACGGCACAUGUGCCUGCAAGAACAAAGCGCGCUAUUGUCGCAGCCGCCCCGAUUAUCUUACCCCUGUUUCUAAACCUGGUCCAGACUGCUAUACAGAAACCACCUACAGGCAACUACAAGGCAGCUCCUGGCUGCUCACUCCCCUCCACCGCUGCUAAAACAACGAGGCAGGGCAUCAAGAACCUCCAAUUACUCUCUCUCCGAACCUCCCCCCUCCCCUUACUCUAAACAUGAGCCAGGUCUCUCGAAGUUCCACCAACUGUCCGUCUCCGGCAAAAGGAAAAACUCUCUGAACCAUUCUAGAAGAUUAAUAACUAUUGUCCGGGCCCUACUCUCUCUACUCUAUUAUCGGACGACAAUGGGGGACCGGGCAACAAACAAUGUACGAUCGACCCAGCGCUGUUUCCAGGGGACUCGGGGGAAGGAGAGGUUUGGAGAGGUUUCUCCUUGUGAAAUCCCGUGUGCUCCCUGGUGCUAGACGGACCCAGUCCGGCCCCCUCCCCACCCCCUUCCCUCCCCUGGCGUGGGGUGGUGUGUGUAUCCGCUCCGGGUUGAUGUGCUCCAUAUGGUCCGGGACUGCGCGGUACCCAGAGUGGCUGGGGGGGGGGCGGGGCCACUGCGUAGUAUUUGGUCCUGGUUGAAAUUUGAUUCAGAAGUUGAGAGGACUGCAGGACCCAAAGCGAGCGAGGGGGGGGAGAGACACACACACACACACACACGCACACACACACACACACAGGUCGACCGGACGCUAUUUUACUGCAAUAAUAAAAGAAGCAAAGACGGACCCAGCCAUCGCUACAGUCUGAGAGACCGUUCGACCAUGAGCUCCACGGGGCGUCCGGCCGCUCACCCGCAGGACGGGGCAGAGAUCGACAGCGUCAAGGAGUCCAUCAGUGACAUCAUCAACCAGCUGCAGGACAUCGACCCGGCGCGGCUCUCCUUCUCCCCAUUCCUGGACCUGGACACCCAGAUCUCGCUGGCGCCCGUGUCGGACAGCCCCGAGUCCUCGGUGGAGGAGCUCCACUCCUCACCCCACUCCGUGACCGGGUCGCAGCGGUCACUGGAACCCGGGACGGGACCCUCAGCCGAUACGCACAGAGACGACGACAGCCGGCCAGACGACAGCGGGACGACGCGUCGGGAACAGGGAGUACCAGAGGGGGGGGGGGGUCUUUCCAGCGCCGUUGCCACGACGGCGCACACUUUGGAAGACGCCUCGAAAACCUCGUCGUCGCUCCCUCCCCUCCCCCCCCCUCCCCCCCC
ensembl:lncRNA